rnacentral:misc_RNA from 1 species
ACAAAUGUAAUCCAAUUACCAACCAACCACACUGUGUGCACCGUUAACGUAUGCUUUGGCAGGGAGUGAAAUGGCGGGAGCCUUGGGCGCCGGUCUUUCGAUCUGCCAGAGUUUUUUACAUACUAAACAAACAAACAAACGUCUUAUUAUCUGACUGAACUUCAUUUAAACAAAUGAAAACA